rnacentral:rRNA from 1 species
GACGAACGCUGGCGGCGUGCUUAACACAUGCAAGUCGAACGGAAAGGCCCUGCUUUUGUGGGGUGCUCGAGUGGCGAACGGGUGAGUAACACGUGAGUAACCUGCCCUUGACUUUGGGAUAACUUCAGGAAACUGGGGCUAAUACCGGAUAGGAGCUCCUGCUGCAUGUUGGGGGUUGGAAAGUUUCGGCGGUUUGGGAUGGACUCGCGGCUUAUCAGCUUGUUGGUGGGGUAGUGGCUUACCAAGGCUUUGACGGGUAGCCGGCCUGAGAGGGUUACCGGCCACAUUGGGACUGAGAUACGGCCCAGACUCCUACGGGAGGCAGCAGUGGGGAAUAUUGCACAAUGGGCGGAAGCCUGAUGCAGCAACGCCGCGUGCGGGAUGACGGCCUUCGGGUUGUAAACCGCUGUCGCCUGUGACGAAGCGUGAGUGACGGUAAUGGGUAAAGAAGCACCGGCUAACUACGUG